rnacentral:rRNA from 1 species
AAGCCGCGAGGCAGAGCGAACCCCAAAAAGCCGUCCCAGUUCGGAUCGCAGGCUGCAACCCGCCUGCGUGAAGUCGGAAUCGCUAGUAAUCGCGGAUCAGCAUGCCGCGGUGAAUACGUUCCCGGGCCUUGUACACACCGCCCGUCACACCAUGAGAGUCGGGAACACCCGAAGCCCGUAGCCUAACAGCAAUGAGGGCGCGGCCGAAGGUGGGUUCGAUAAUUGGGGUGAAGUCGUAACAAGGUAUC